CCUACGGGAGGCAGCAGUGAGGAAUAUUGGUCAAUGGACGAGAGCCUGAACCAGCCAAGUAGCGUGAAGGAUGACUGCCCUAUGGGUUGUAAACUUCUUUUAUAUGGGAAUAAAACGUUCCACGUGUGGGUUUUUUUAUUUACCUUAUGAAUACGGAUCGGCUAACUCCGUGCCAGCAGCCGCGGUAAUACGGAGGAUCCGAGCGUUAUCCGGAUUUAUUGGGUUUAAAGGGAGCGUAGGUGGAUUGUUAAGUCAGUUGUGAAAGUUUGCGGCUCAACCGUAAAAUUGCAGUUGAAACUGGCAGUCUUGAGGACAGUAGAGGUAGGCGGAAUUCGUGGUGUAGCGGUGAAAUGCUUAGAUAUCACGAAGAACUCCGAUUGCGAAGGCAGUUCACUGGACUGCAACUGACACGGAGGCUCGAAAGUGUGGGUAUCAAACAGGAUUAGAUACCCUAGUAGUC
rnacentral:rRNA from 1 species